GACGAACGCUGGCGGCGUGCCUAAUACAUGCAAGUAGGACGCAGUUGCGAACGGGUGAGUAACGCGUAGGUAACUACCUAUUAGAGGGGGAUAACUAUUGGAGACGAUAGCUAAUACCGCAUACUAGUAGCUGGACCUGCGUUGUAUUAGCUAGUAGGUAGGGUAAUGGCCUACCUAGGCAACGAUACAUAGCCGACCCGGGAGGGGGAUCGGGCACAACGGGACUGAGGCACCGCCCAGAAUUCCACGGGAGGGAGCAGUAGGGGAACUUCGGCAAUGGGGGGAACCCUUACCGAGCAACGCCGCGUGAGUGAAGAAGGGUUUCGGAUCGUAAAGCUCUGUUGUGAAGGAAGCGGUACUUAACCAGAAAGGGACGGCUAACUACGUGCCAGCAGCCGCGGUAAUUC
rnacentral:rRNA from 1 species